UACAGAGACUGCAAGCGUUAUUCGGAUUCACUGGGCGUAAAGGGUGCGCAGGCGGCCAAGUGUGUCAGGUGUGAAAUCCCGAGGCUUAACCUCGGAACUGCGCCUGAAACUACUUGGCUAGAGUACUGGAGAGGGUAACGGAAUUCACGGUGUAGCAGUGAAAUGCGUAGAUAUCGUGAGGAACACCAGAGGCGAAGGCGGUUACCUGGACAGUUACUGACGCUCAGGCACGAAAGCGUGGGGAGCAAACAGG
rnacentral:rRNA from 1 species